AUUGAACGCUGGCGGCAGGCCUAACACAUGCAAGUCGAGCGGAUGAAGGGUGCUUGCUCCUGGAUUCAGCGGCGGAAGGGUGAGUAAUGCCUAGGAAUCUGCCUGGCUGUGGUGGAUAAUGUCCGGAAACGGGCGCUAAUACUGCAUACGAGCAGAGGCUGAAAGAGGGGGGUGUUUGGACCGUAUGCUAUCAGAGGAGUGUAGGUGGGACUAGCUAGCUGGUGGGGUAAAGGGCUACCUAGGAGACUAUCCGUGAGUGGUCUGAGAGGAUGAUCAGUCACACUGGAGCUGAGACACGGUCCAGACUCCUACGGGAGGCCGCAGUGGGGAAUGUUGGACAGUGGGCGGAAGCCUGGUCCAGCCAUGCCGCGUGUGUGAAGAAGGUCUUCGGAUUGGAAAGCACGUUAUGUUGGGAGGAAGGGCAUUAAGUUAAUACCUUGCUGUAUUGACGUUAACAACAGAAUAAGCACCGGCUAACUUCGUG
rnacentral:rRNA from 1 species